GACGAACGCUGGCGGCGCGCCUAACACAUGCAAGUCGAACGAGCGAGAGAGAGCUUGCUUUCUCGAGCGAGUGGCGAACGGGUGAGUAACGCGUGAGGAACCUGCCUCAAAGAGGGGGACAACAGUUGGAAACGACUGCUAAUACCGCAUAAGCCCACGGCUCGGCAUCGAGCAGAGGGAAAAGGAGCAAUCCGCUUUGAGAUGGCCUCGCGUCCGAUUAGCUAGUUGGCGAGGUAACGGCCCACCAAGGCAACGAUCGGUAGCCGGACUGAGAGGUUGAACGGCCACAUUGGGACUGAGACACGGCCCAGACUCCUACGGGAGGCAGCAGUGGGGAAUAUUGCACAAUGGGGGAAACCCUGAUGCAGCGACGCCGCGUGGAGGAAGAAGGUCUUCGGAUUGUAAACUCCUGUUGUUGGGGAAGAUAAUGACGGUACCCAACAAGGAAG
rnacentral:rRNA from 1 species